rnacentral:rRNA from 1 species
CUUUCCUGCCAUCACUAGAUCUUGAACACCUUGUCUGACUUCAGAAGCUAAGCAGGGUCAGUUCUGAUUACUACUUGGAUGGGUGACCGCUAGACACUAUCCAGGUC